AGAGUUUGAUCCUGGCUCAGGAUGAACGCUGGCGGCGUGCUUAACACAUGCAAGUCGAACGAAGCAUUUUGACAUGAUUUCCUCGGAAGGAUUGUUACUAUGACUGAGUGGCGGACGGGUGAGUAACGCGUGGGUAACCUGCCUCAUACAGGGGGAUAACAGCUGGAAACGGCUGCUAAUACCGCAUAAGCGCACAGUACCGCAUGGUACGGUGUGAAAAACUCCGGUGGUAUGAGAUGGACCCGCGUCUGAUUAGCUAGUUGGCGGGGUAACGGCCCACCAUGGCGACGAUCAGUAGCCGACCUGAGAGGGUGACCGGCCACAUUGGGACUGAGACACGGCCCAAACUCCUACGGGAGGCAGCAGUGGGGAAUAUUGCACAAUGGGCGAAAGCCUGAUGCAGCGACGCCGCGUGAACGAAGAAGUAUUUCGGUAUGUAAAGUUCUAUCAGCAGGGAAGAUAAUGACGGUACCUGACUAAGAAGCACCGGCUAAAUACGUGCCAGCAGCCGCGGUAAUACGUAUGGUGCAAGCGUUAUCCGGAUUUACUGGGUGUAAAGGGAGCGCAGGCGGUACGGCAAGUCUGAUGUGAAAGCCCGGGGCUCAACCCCCGGUACUGCAUUGGAAACUGUCGGACUAGAGUGUCGGAGGGGUAAGCGGAAUUCCUAGUGUAGCGGUGAAAUGCGUAGAUAUUAGGAGGAACACCAGUGGCGAAGGCGGCUUACUGGACGAUAACUGACGCUGAGGCUCGAAAGCGUGGGGAGCAAACAGGAUUAGAUACCCUGGUAGUCCACGCCGUAAACGAUGAA
rnacentral:rRNA from 1 species